UACGUAGGGUGCAAGCGUUUGUCCGGAAUUAUUGGGCGUAAAGAGCUCGUAGGCGGUCUGUCGCGUCGGCUGUGAAAACCCGGGGCUCAACCCCGGGCCUGCAGUCGAUACGGGCAGACUAGAGUGCGGUAGGGGAGACUGGAAUUCCUGGUGUAGCGGUGAAAUUCGUAGAUAUCGGGAGGAACACCAGUGGCGAAGGCGGCGACUGGGAAGAUACUGACGCUGAGGUGCGAA
rnacentral:rRNA from 1 species